GAUGCAUCUACAAGCCAAGGAAUGCCAAGGAUUGCCAGCAACCACCAGAAACUAGGAAGAGGAAAGGAAGGAUAUCCCCUCGCCACUUCGAAGGGAACAUGACUGUUCUGACAUCAUAAUUGCAGACUUCUAGUCCCUUGGAAUCUGAGAAAAAAAUAUUUCUGUUGCUUUAAGCCACCCAGCCCAUUAUACUUUGUUAGGGCAGCCCUAGGAACCCAAUACAGGGGACCUCUUGUCUUACAUCAGGUGAUCACAUUUCAGGUUUCCUCUUCAUGCCAGUUGGCAGAUAAUACCAGUCAACCUCCAGGAAGGCUUUCCUCAAAAUGUCCUGCCACUUCAUUGGGAAGAGAGUGCUGGCGCUAUCUGACUGAACAACCCGGUCGGGGGUUUACCUUUCAUGUAUCCACCCGCUGUUGCCACAGAUUUCAAGUAAUUACUGCAGUGCUGCCCGGACAUGCCAAAUUCCCAGCUACUUUCCCUCAAGCAGUUUCCAGAUUUUCUAAGGGGAGCUUAGGAAAAACUAACACAUCAUUUCCAUUUUGUUCACAAGAACCUGCAAAUGAUCUCAAAUGA
rnacentral:lncRNA from 1 species